rnacentral:rRNA from 1 species
AUGGCCGCCGCCACACUCCGCUCCGCCCUCCUCUCCUCCUCCUGCGCCCUCCGCCGCCUCUCCUCCGCCGCGCCGCGCGCCCCCCGCCUCGCCCAGCCCAAGGGGUUCGCCGGGGCUCGCCGGUCCUACCCGGCCGCGUUCGCCGCCAUGUCGACGUCGUCGGGGGCCAAGGAGGCGCCGGCCAACAACCCGGGCCUGCAGGCCGAGGCCGACCCGGCCACCAAGGGCUACAUCAUGCAGCAGACUAUGUUCCGCGUGAAGGACCCAAAAGUGAGCCUUGACUUCUACUCCCGUGUGAUGGGCAUGUCGUUGCUGAAAAGGUUGGAUUUUCCUGAGAUGAAAUUCAGUUUGUAUUUUCUUGGUUACGAGGACUUGUCUGCAGCCCCCGCUGAUCCUGUCCAGCGGACUGGAUGGACUUUUGGGCAAAAGGCUACGAUCGAGCUCACUCACAACUGGGGCACAGAAAGUGAUCCUGAAUUCAAAGGGUACCAUAAUGGGAACUCAGACCCUCGUGGGUUCGGCCAUAUAGGGGUAACUGUGGAUGAUGUCUACAAGGCAUGCGAGCGUUUCGAAAGUCUUGGGGUAGAGUUUGUGAAGAAACCAGAUGAUGGGAAAAUGAAAGGCAUCGCAUUCAUCAAGGAUCCUGAUGGUUACUGGAUUGAAAUAUUUGACCUGAAGAGAAUCGGGGAGGUGACUGCUGCGGCAUCAUGA